rnacentral:rRNA from 1 species
UUGUUGGUAAGGUAAAAGCUUACCAAGGCUUCGAUCAGUAGCUGGUCUGAGAGGACGACCAGCCACACUGGGACUGAGACACGGCCCAGACUCCUACGGGAGGCAGCAGUGGGGAAUUUUGGACAAUGGGGGCAACCCUGAUCCAGCCAUGCCGCGUGAGUGAAGAAGGCCUUCGGGUUGUAAAGCUCUUUCAGCCGGAACGAAACGGUUACGGAUAACACCCGUGACUACUGACGGUACCGGAAGAAGAAGCACCGGCUAACUACGUGCCAGCAGCCGCGGUAAUACGUAGGGUGCGAGCGUUAAUCGGAAUUACUGGGCGUAAAGCGUGCGCAGGUGGUUUUGUAAGUCAGAUGUGAAAGCCCCGGGCUCAACCUGGGAACUGCGUUUGAAACUACAAGACUAGAGUGUGGCAGAGGGGGGUGGAAUUCCGCGUGUAGCAGUGAAAUGCGUAGAGAUGUGGAGGAACACCGAUGGCGAAGGCAGCCCCCUGGGUCAACACUGACGCUCAGGCACGAAAGCAUGGGGAGCAAACAGGAUUAGAUACCCUGGUAGUCCAUGCCCUAAACGAUGUCAACUAGUUGUCGGGCCUUUACGGGCUUGGUAACGUAGCUAACGCGUGAAGUUGACCGCCUGGGGAGUACGAUCGCAAGAUUAAAACUCAAAUGAAUUGACGGGGACCCGCACAAGCGGUGGAUUAUGUGGAUUAAUUCGAUGCAACGCGAAAAACCUUACCUACCCUUGACAUGUAUCGAAGCCCGCAGAAAAGCGGGGGUGCCCGAAAGGGAACGAUAACACAGGUGCUGCAUGGCUGUCGUCAGCUUGUGUCGUGAGAUGUUGGGUUAAGUCCCGCAACGAGCGCAACCCUUGUCAUUAAUUGCCAUCAUUUAGUUGGGCACUUUAAUGAGACUGCCGG